UACGGAGGGUGCAAGCGUUAUCCGGAUUCACUGGGUUUAAAGGGUGCGUAGGAGGGUAGGUAAGUCAGUGGUGAAAUCUUCGAGCUUAACUCGGAAACUGCCGUUGAUACUAUCUAUCUUGAAUACCGUGGAGGUGAGCGGAAUAUGUCAUGUAGCGGUGAAAUGCUUAGAUAUGACAUAGAACACCAAUUGCGAAGGCAGCUGUCUAGACCUGGAUUGACGCUGAGGCACGAAAGCGUGGGGAGCGAACAGG
rnacentral:rRNA from 1 species